GACGAACGCUGGCGGCGUGCUUAACACAUGCAAGUCGAACGGUGAAGCGAGUGCUUGCACUCGUGGAUCAGUGGCGAACGGGUGAGUAACACGUGAGUAACCUGCCCAUCACUCUGGGAUAAGCACUGGCAACGGUGUCUAAUACUGGAUACGACCAACCCUUGCAUGGGGUGUUGGUGGAAAGAUUUAUCGGUGAUGGAUGGACUCGCGGCCUAUCAGCUUGUUGGCGGGGUAAUGGCCCACCAAGGCGACGACGGGUAGCCGGCCUGAGAGGGUGACCGGCCACACUGGGACUGAGACACGGCGCAGACUCCUACGGGAGGCAGCAGUGGGGAAUAUUGCACAAUGGGCGAAAGCCUGAUGCAGCGACGCCGCGUGAGGGAUGACGGCCUUCGGGUUGUAAACCUCUUUCAGCAGGGAAGAAGCGAAAGUGACGGUACCUGCAGAAGAAGCACCGGCUAACUACGUG
rnacentral:rRNA from 1 species